CCAUUUCAAAUCGUUUUAUUUCACAGCUUUUAACCUUUUAAUAACGAGAUCAUUGUUAAGUGAUUAUUGCUGUCAUCAGAUUGUUUCAUUCCUAAAUAGUUGAUCUCUAAACAAGUUAAUUAUGACGGCCAAUUUUUAUAACAUUGACCGCAAGACGUAAAAUUGGCCGUUUGAUUGUAAAUCAUGAUUUUAAUCUUCCGUGCCAUAAUAUUUCGCAUUUUAGGCUCUUGUCCACUGCUCACUGUGAAAUUUAGCUGUGAAGUGUUAAGUAAAGAAAGGGGUUGCUGAAUGCUAUGUAGCUGAUCUUUAAAGUGUUACGAUACAUUGUCUUACAUUCACAUGAUGGGUAUGUUAAGGGACUUCCCCUUGCAGAUGAAGCAUAUCGGAUGAAGUGACUGUUACAUUAAAAGAAAAAUGAAAAAGUUCUCUAAAUACACCAUGCUGCGUCUUUUCUGUUGUUGUUCAACAUUGUGGAAUGGCAGUCAUCGUGGUUGUUGCAUUGCACUGUUGUGUCAGGUAGUUGUGGUAGAAUGAAUGAUUUAAGUUGUUAAAGUUGGUCAACUGUAUUUACAUUCAAUUUUAUACAAAGUAAGGAAAAGAGCGAAAACGGUGAAAAAAUCCAGUGUUUACUUGAAUCAAAUACGGACGAGAAUAAAGAUAUAGAAGAAAUCUCUAGAGCUUGGAGAAAGUACAUCAAGACGAAAAAAAUAAUUCCCGUUCACAAAACGUUCCAGAGAGUGUUGCAGAGGAUCAAGGGAUGGAAUCUGGAGCAGAAAGUCAGACUGAAUGUUUAAUAUUUUUACUCGUACUUUUGUAUUGGAAACUUCUUAUUGAAGUGUAUCAUUUAAAUCUUCCUUCAAUUCCUGAUGAACUAUAAAUAUCUAUAAUUUGUACAAGUGUGCCGUGAACAUAAUAAUAAUUGCAAUAUUAACUACUUAGAACAAAUGUACUUUUCGAUGUCGUAUUUUCUAUUUGUGAAAAAGUAAAUAUUUAUUGCCUUUUA